UGAGGCAGGAGAAUUGCUUGAACCCAGGAAGUGGAGGUUGCAGUGAGCUGAGAUCACGCCACUGUACUCCAGCCUGGGUGACAGAGUGAGACUCUGUCUC
rnacentral:miRNA from 10 species